rnacentral:rRNA from 1 species
UACGGGGGGGGGCAAGCGUUGUUCGGAAUUACUGGGCGUAAAGGGCUCGUAGGCGGCCAACUAAGUCAUACGUGAAAUCCCUCGGCUUAACCGGGGAACUGCGUCUGAUACUGGAUGGCUUGAGUUCGGGAGAGGGAUGCGGAAUUCCAGGUGUAGCGGUGAAAUGCGUAGAUAUCAGGAAGAACACCAAUGGCGAAGGCAGCUCUCUGGGACGGUACUGACGCUGAGACGCGAAAGCGUGGGGAGCGAACAGG